rnacentral:rRNA from 1 species
CUACGGGAGGCUGCAGUGAGGAAUAUUGGGCAAUGGACGCAAGUCUGACCCAGCCAUGCCGCGUGAAGGAUGACAGCCCUAUGGGUUGUAAACUUCUUUUAUAUGGGAAAAAACCCCCGAACGUGUUCGGGGCUGAUGGUACCAUAAGAAUAAGCACCGGCUAACUCCGUGCCAGCAGCCGCGGUAAUACGGAGGGUGCAAGCGUUAUCCGGAUUUAUUGGGUUUAAAGGGUGCGCAGGCGGAGCGAUCAGUCAGUGGUGAAAUCCUACGGCUCAACCGUAGAACUGCCAUUGAUACUGUCGUUCUUGAGUAUAGUUGAAGUGGGCGGAAUGUGUCAUGUAGCGGUGAAAUGCAUAGAUAUGACACAGAACACCAAUCGCGAAGGCAGCUCACUAAACUACUACUGACGCUCAGGCACGAAAGCGUGGGGAGCGAACAGGGUUAGAUACCCGUGUAGUC